rnacentral:rRNA from 1 species
UGAGGAAUAUUGGUCAAUGGGCGAGAGCCUGAACCAGCCAAGUAGCGUGCAGGAUGACGGCCCUAUGGGUUGUAAACUGCUUUUAUAAGGGAAUAAAGUGAGUCUCGUGAGACUUUUUGCAUGUACCUUAUGAAUAAGGACCGGCUAAUUCCGUGCC